AAGUCGUAACAAGGUAACCGUAGGUGGACCUGCGGUUGGAUCAUUAAAAAAAAUUGAAGCUUCAACCCUUUCAAGGGUAGAAGCGUCAGUGCUCCUCUAACAAGGAGCUUGACUACUCCAAUUUUGUGAACUUGCAACCAAAAAAUGUUUUGAUAGUGGUGAAAGAUUUGGGCAUUACCAGCCCAAGUUUUUCCCUUCUUGAAAAAAUUGUUAACCCUGAAGAAAUAACUUGUCUUUACCGUUUUUUAUAAAUAAAAAUUAAUAAACAACUUUUGACAACGGAUCUCUAGGCUCUC
rnacentral:misc_RNA from 1 species